rnacentral:rRNA from 1 species
GACGAACGCUGGCGGCGUGCUUAACACAUGCAAGUCGAACGGAAAGGCCCUGCUUUUGUGGGGUGCUCGAGUGGCGAACGGGUGAGUAACACGUGAGUAACCUGCCCUUGACUUUGGGAUAACUUCAGGAAACUGGGGCUAAUACCGGAUAGGAGCUCCUGCUGCAUGGUGGGGGUUGGAAAGUUUCGGCGGUUGGGGAUGGACUCGCGGCUUAUCAGCUUGUUGGUGGGGUAGUGGCUUACCAAGGCUUUGACGGGUAGCCGGCCUGGGAGGGUGACCGGCGACCUUGGGACUGAGAGACGGCCCAGACUCCUACGGGGGGCAGCAGUGGGGAAUAUUGCACAAUGGGAGGAAGCCUGAGGCAGCAACGCCGGGUGCGGGAUGACGGCCUUCGGGUUGUAAACCGCUUUCGCCUGUGACGAAGCGUGAGUGACGGUAAUGGGUAAAGAAGCACCGGCUAACUACGUG